rnacentral:lncRNA from 1 species
UAGUACUACAAAUCCAAAUUCAUUCAUCAGCAAUUUUGUGGUCUUUUUUGGAUAGAAUUAAGACCUUAUAAACGUGUUUUCCUACGUUUACAAGCAUGCAUUUACAUCGAACUUUUAAAUUUUACUUCUAAAUAAAAUAACUUGAGUAUUAUGACAUAAUUUCAUUUAAAUUUGCAUCAAAAUAUAGGCAAAUCUACAUAUAAAACGCACUCACCCGAAGCGAUCAACGCAGCUUAUUAUCUCUUUGCACUCUUGCUUCCUUCUUUCCUCCCAACUCGCACUUCGCACCAGUGGGUUUACGUUCACCGUUCAUGCCUCUACUAGCUCAAAUGCUCAAUCAGUUAACUCAGGUGACCGAUUUGACGAGAAGGAAUUGGGGGAAAGAACUCAAGAAGGGUUUGCUCUUUUCUCUGCUGCCGGUUUGACGGGAAAGAAUUGGGGGAAAGUGAUUCAUAUGAGACAUAAUCCAUAUAAAUGAUUUCAUUUUCAUUGAUUUGGGCCUGCCCAAUUUACAAAAAAAAAGGAAAAAAAAAAGAAAAAAAAGGCCUGCCUACUGGCUCUAAGCUUGACUGCCCAAGUCAUCAUAGCCAGCCCAAAUCCUCUCUUCCUCUUCUUCUUUCUUCCCAUGCGUCUCUGUGACUCUGUUUGCAAAUUUCUCUGCUCUCUUCCUUCAGCGAUCGGUGAAUCAAGUUAGGGCAGUUGCAUUCUGCUCUGCAACAUUCUGGCGAUUCCGGAACAAUCUAGUCACCCGUCACCUAGAUCCGCCGGCGGCGGCUAGGGUGAUUGAUGAAAUAUGAGAUAAAAUGUGUGUAUCAGGCUAUGUUCCAAGUCAGGGUAUUGACAAUCAUAGUGAAAUUAAGGGUCUAACAAUAUUAGAUGAAGCAAAAAUGUGCAC